rnacentral:rRNA from 1 species
CAGUAGCCGCGGUAAUACAGAGGGUGCGAGCGUUAAUCGGAUUUACUGGGCGUAAAGCGUGCGUAGGCGGCUAAUUGAGUCGGAUGUGAAAUCCCCGAGCUUAACUUGGGAAUUGCAUUCGAUACUGGUUAGCUAGAGUGUGGGAGAGGAUGGUAGAAUUCCAGGUGUAGCGGUGAAAUGCGUAGAGAUCUGGAGGAAUACCGAUGGCGAAGGCAGCCAUCUGGCCUAACACUGACGCUGAGGUACGAAAGCAUGGGGAGCAAACAGGAUUAGAUACCCUUGUAGUCCCUGUCUCUUAUAC